GAUCUAGGGAAGCAUCUCUAGCAGGAGAUUAGAGAACUAGUGUGUUCCUCAUGCCUGAUGGUUCACACAACAGGUUAAAGGAAGCAUGAAGGUGAGCUAGACCACUGUGAUUAGAUAAAGAAAGCAGACUCAGUGGCCUCUACACCUGCUUUUGCAUAACGUGAGACAGACCCAGAUGCACAGAGAGCUCUGAAAUGUCAUGAAGGAAGCAGAUGAAGAAGACAGUACAGGACAGAGCCCUUUUCAGAGCAACGUGAUUAAUAGCUCACUUUCAAGAACAGCAUGCAGGGUGCAUGCUUGCCCACAUGACAAAAGAUACUCAGAUACAAGCCCACAUGACAAAAGAUACUCAGAUCC